CUAAUUUCCUGUUUUGAAGGAAGUUUUAAAGUGCAAUUUCAGUCCAAAAAUCACUAAGAAAUAUCUAACAGACAAGAAACAGAAGUAUUUCAACAAGGCAGAGUGACAGCUUGUGACUAAACAUCUAACAAGUCCAUUACAGCAUGGGCAGGAUCUAUGCGUCUCAUGCCUGAAGAGACCAGCCCCGCAGAUUGAGCUUCCUCAAUCUCUGAAGAAGAAGGCGCAGACCCCUCGGAAGAAGCAAUGGCAAGGCAGUCUCCUGCACCUUGCACCAGCUCAAGUACUCAUACCUCCAUGGGUACUUUAUCCACAUUUUGAUUUGAGAGCACAUUCUGGUGCACACAUAACUUUCAUAACUCUGCAUGUAUAGAUGCUUGAUGUUGCACCUUUGUGAAAUUUACUCAUGGUUUCCGGGUAAUAAAAUUGCUCUUUCUUUCACUCGCGAAAACCCUGUACUUAUAACCUUACUGGAACAAUAAAUAUUGGGUAACAUUUUUAUUAAAGAGAGGGGUAUAGCUUUGAACUAUGAAGGACAUAAGAUCUUUGAUGUGGCAAUCUGGGGAAAUUGAAAAGAAGGGAGUCAAUU